rnacentral:rRNA from 1 species
AACGAACGCUGGCGGCAGGCCUAACACAUGCAAGUCGAGCGAAGCCUUCGGGCUUAGCGGCGGACGGGUGAGUAACGCGUGGGAACGUGCCCUUUGGCACGGAAUAGCCCCGGGAAACUGGGAGUAAUACCGUAUGUGGUCGAGAGACAAAAGAUUUAUCGCCAAAGGAUCGGCCCGCGUUGGAUUAGGUAGUUGGUGGGGUAAUGGCCUACCGAGCCGACGAUCCAUAGCUGGUUUGAGAGGAUGAUCAGCCACACUGGGACUGAGACACGGCACAGACUCCUACGGGAGGCAGCAGUGGGGAAUCUUAGACAAUGGGGGAAACCCUGAUCUAGCCAUGCCGCGUGAUCGAUGAAGGCCUUAGGGUUGUAAAGAUCUUUCAGUGGGGAAGAUAAUGACUGUACCCACAGAAGAAGCCCCGGCUAACUCCGUGCCAGCAGCCGCCGUAAGAC